AACGAACGCUGGCGGCGUGGAUAAGACAUGCAAGUCGAACGGGACUAAAUCUGUAGCAAUACAGGUUUAGUUUAGUGGCGAACGGGUGCGUAACACGUGGGCAAUCUGCCGAGAAGUGGGGGAUAGCUCGCCGAAAGGACGAAUUAAUACCGCAUAUGAUCAGUGAAGACAUCUUCACGACAUCAAAGCCGGGGCAACCUGGCGCUUCUUGAUGAGCCCGCGGCCUAUCAGCUAGUUGGUGAGGUAACGGCUCACCAAGGCUAUGACGGGUAGCUGGUCUGAGAGGACGACCAGUCACACUGGAACUGAGACACGGUCCAGACACCUACGGGUGGCAGCAGUCGAGAAUUUUUCUCAAUGGGGCAACCCUGAAGGAGCGACGCCGCGUGGAGGAUGAAGGCUUUCGGGUUGUAAACUCCUGUCUAUUUGGGUAACAAGCGGCACACGUUUACUGCGUGUGCCUUGAUAGUACCAGAAGAGGAGAGACGGCUAC
rnacentral:rRNA from 1 species